rnacentral:rRNA from 1 species
UACGUAGGAGACGAGCGUUGUCCGGAAUCACUGGGCGUAAAGCGCGUGUAGGCGGAUGGGCAAGUCUGCUGUGAAAGCUCCUGGCUUAACCGGGAGUGGUCGGUGGAAACUGCCAAUCUGGAGGACGGUAGAGGCUGGUGGAAUUCCCGGUGUAGUGGUGAAAUGCGUAGAGAUCGGGAGGAACACCUGUGGCGAAGGCGGCCAGCUGGGCCGGACCUGACGCUGAGACGCGAAGGCGUGGGGAGCGAACGGG